AGGCGACCCUGAAAACUUGGACGUGCCAUGAUUUAGGCUAUAUUAACCAUGGACUGAAUAUCUGGUCAUAUCCAAUUUCAUUUGCCUCUGUUUCUGUAAAACAUGUUCAUGUAUGAAUUCUAAAUGCAUUUGAUGUUUCUUUCCCUCGUUUAAGCAAGGGGUCCCUGCUAAGGUGAGGGAAGAAGUAGUCACGAUAACUUGACCGUGAAGGGCUCGAGCGCCAUGUGACAUCCUGGCCAGAAACGUCGACUCGAUUGAGAUUUCAUCAUCUCCAUUGAGAAAGGGAGCCGGCCUAUCACCCGUGGACCACUAAAAUCACCACCUCUUGGUCCUUCCUCUCUCGUGUUCAGCGCAAGGGCCUUCCUGACUCUGUGACAGAGGGAGUCCUGAGUGACGCCGUGAAUGACUCUACGAUGCCUUACUGCCCCCCCCCUCCCCUCCCCCACCUCUUCCCGGCUGCUUCUGAUUAAGGUGUGAUCACUAUAGCCGCACACACAUUUCAAAGACUUACAAAAAGUCCCAAAAAAUGAAGCCAUUUCCCUCAAAUGUUGCUGUUCUGAAACGGACAAAUAGGAGGGAUGUAUUUUGCAGAAGGAGCGUUAUUUGUAUUGUUCCAUACCUUGGAACUUAACGUAUCUUAGAUGAUGCCCCAGUGUAGGUUCCAAUCGUCUUGCAAUGCAACUGUGCUUGCUGCUAUCAGUGAAAAGGUUCCACCCAAAAAAAGAUCCCUGUUUCUAGUACUCUUACAAUGCAGCACGGCGGCUCGGACUAUUGCUGUUACACUUGCGGUGUUGGCGAAGCUACUGUGAAAAUAUUGUUUACCAAGCUACCGUUUACUUCACACUGACAGAAGUUAAGCUACACUGAAGCCACAUUUGAGAAAAAAAAUAUUAACUCAAGUUACUUUGGGAAAAUAGUUCACGACAUCCACACUGCUUCUUGGAAAAUGAUCAUAUUUGAAUCUGAAACGUCAUGGAGUACAAAUUGCAAGGGCAGAUCACUUUGAGGUCAUACGUUAACAGAAUGUGCCUAUUAAACACAAAAACUAUGUUUCAAGGGAGAAUUGGGAAGGUCUGAUGCUGAAAAAGAUAGGAAAUUCUUGCCUACUUCAGUUCUAUUUUCUUUUUCUUUUGCAAAAAAAAGUAGUGUGUAGUUCCAGUAGUUCGCUACACUGCUACGUGGCAAUUAAAAAAAAAAAAACUACUGAAAACAAUACCAAAAGUUGAAUUUAGUUAAUAAACUACCACCAAGCUACUGCAAAAUGCAGCUAAAUUAGUAGUUCACUACUCCUCCACACUGUACACUUGUCACCUGGUUGAGUGAGUGUGAAAGCAGUCAAUCAUGAUCCACUUCCUGUGUGUGCCCAGCCUAUACUGAACCUGUGUUCAUUUGGCACCAAAGGGAAGACAAUAGACUGAAAGAUGGGAGGGACUACCUGAGGUGUAUUAAUUAGUCCUACACCGUAGCAAAACGUUUUUUUUUUCAACGGGAACGUUUUUGCAAUAAAAACAAACGUUUUCAGCUUCGGUUCCAUUUGGUUCCUUGUGAAUACACCCUUGGAUUCUUCCAAAUAGCAAAAGCUAAUUUUUGUUUCCUGUCGCAGACAGUUAGGAGCUAAAAGGAAGACGUCACGUCGUUUCACAUUAUCCAUGCAUAUGCUAGGGUGGUUGAUAGUUGCUUUAGUGGAGAGUGAGUUCUAGGUCAAACUAAAACACAGGGCACUUUUCUGUACCAGGCUGGCAGCUGCCAUUCACCCGGCCCUCCAUCUCUCCCUUUCUCUCUCACAUCUCUGAUGGAAGGAGAGGUGCCCGUCGUUGUAAGGCGGUUG